GGUAGCGCAAUCACUUGUCUUUUAAAUGAAGACCUGUAUGAAUGGCAUCACGAGGGCUUAGCUGUCUCCUCUNUCAAGUCAAUGAAAUUGAUCUGCCCGUGCAGAAGCGGACAUAAGAACAUAAGACGAGAAGACCCUAUGGAGCUUUAGACACCCGGGAGACCCUGUUAAGUAGCUGAACUAUCAGAUUAAAACAAAGCGGCCCCUGGCCUACAUGUCUUCGGUUGGGGCGACCACGGGGGAAAACAAAGCCCCCACGAGGAUUAAGGAAAACCUCCUUAUAACCACGAGCGACAGCUCUAAGUCUCAGAACUUCUGACCAAAAAGAUCCGACACCAGUCGAUCAACGGACCAAGUUACCCUAGGGAUA
rnacentral:rRNA from 1 species